GGCGGCAGGCUUAACACAUGCAUGUCGAGCGGUAGCAGAUCUAGCUUGCUAGAUGCUGACGAGCGGCGGACGGGUGAGUAACGCGUAGGAACCUGCCCAGUAGUGGGGGAUAGCCCGGGGAAACUCGGAUUAAUACCGCAUACGCUCUACGGAGGAAAGAGGGGGCUUCGGCUCUCGCUAUUGGAUGGGCCUGCGUGAGAUUAGCUAGUUGGUGAGGUAAUGGCUCACCAAGGCGACGAUCUCUAGCUGGUCUGAGAGGAUGAUCAGCCACACUGGGACUGAGACACGGCCCAGACUCCUACGGGAGGCAGCAGUGGGGAAUAUUGCACAAUGGGCGCAAGCCUGAUGCAGUCAUGCCGCGUGUGUGAAGAAGGCUUUCGGGUUGUAAAGCACUUUCAGUGGGGAGGAAGGCCUCGUAGUUAAUAGCUGCGAGGAUUGACGUUACCCACAGAAGAAGCACCGGCUAACUCCGUG
rnacentral:rRNA from 1 species